GUCUUAUUGAUAAUAAUUUUAAGUCUAAUCUGCCCAAUGAAAUUUAAAUGGCUGCAGUAUCAAUAACUGUACAAAGGUAGCAUAAUAAUUAGUUUUUUAAUUGAAAACUAGAAUGAAAGAUUAAAUGAAAUAUAAACUUUAUAAAUAAAACAAAAAUUUAAAUUAAAUUCUAAGUUAAAAUUCUUAAAUAUAAUUAAAAGACGAGAAGACCCUUUAGAAUUUUAUAUUAAAUAUAAUUAAAUUUAUAAUAUUUUAAAUAUAAAUUAUAUUUAAUAUUUAAUUGGGGUAAUUUUAUAAUUUAAUAAACUUUUAAAUAAUUAUAACAUUAAUUAAUGACUAUAUAAUCCUAAUUUUUAGUAUUUUAAAAUAAAUUACCUUAGGGAUAACAGCGUAAUUUUUUUUGAAAGUUCACAUUUAUAGAAAAGAUUGCGACCUCGAUGUUGAAUUAAGAUUAAAUUAAAAGCAAAAAUUUAAUAUUUUAAGUCU
rnacentral:rRNA from 1 species